rnacentral:rRNA from 1 species
GACGAACGCUGGCGGCGUGCUUGACACAUGCAAGUCGAACGGACAGACAGAGAGCUUGCUCUCUUGAAGUUAGUGGCGAACGGGUGAGUAACGCGUAAUCAACCUGCCCUUCAGAGGGGGAUAACAACGGGAAACCGUUGCUAAUACCGCGUACGAUUCAUGAACGGCAUCGUUUAUGAAUGAAAGGUGGCCUCUAUGUAUAAGCUAUCGCUGACGGAGGGGAUUGCGUCUGAUUAGCUAGUUGGAGGGGUAACGGCCCACCAAGGCAAUAAUCAGUAGCCUGUCUGAGAGGAUGAACGGCCACAUUGGGACUGAGACACGGCCCAAACUCCUACGGGAGGCAGCAGUGGGGAAUCUUCCGCAAUGGACGAAAGUCUGACGGAGCAACGCCGCGUGAGUGAUGAAGGUCUUCGGAUUGUAAAGCUCUGUUAAUCGGGACGAAAGAGUUCUGCGUGAAUAAUGCAGAAAAGUGACGGUACCGGAAUAGAAAGCCACGGCUAACUACGUGCCAGCAGCCGCAGUAA